AUUGAACGCUGGCGGCAGGCCUAACACAUGCAAGUCGAACGAGUGGCGGACGGGUGAGUACUGACCGGGAAACUUCCUGAUGGAGGGGGAUAAAUACUGGUAACGGUAGCUAAUACCGCAUACCAUGGGCUGUCCCCAGAUGGGAUUGGCUAGUGGGUGGGGUAAAGGCUCACCUAGGCGACGAGCCCUAGCUGGUCGUAGAGAAUGACCAGCCAAACUGGAACGGAGACACUGUCCAGACUCCUACGGUACGCAGCAGUGGGGAAUAGUGGACAAUGGGGGCAAAUCUGAUACAGCCAGGCCGCGUGUAUGACGAAGGCCUUCGGGUUGUAAAGUACUUUCGGCGGUUAGGCGUUACCCGCAGAAGAAGCACCGGCUAACUCCGUGCCAGCCGCCGCGGUAAUUC
rnacentral:rRNA from 1 species